AGAGUCAGGCACCAGACAGACUGCAGAGAUUCGCUCUUCCUGCUCUGCUGCCCUGCGACCACUCCCCCCGGGUCCAGUUACCAAGCAGGUAAGCCUCCGGACAUCAAAGCCUGCGAUCGAUCGGAGCCAGACCUCUCCCAACCACAGCUGGCCCCUGCCCAGACUCUUACCUGCAGGGAAUGCCCUUGUGAUCACCUGCUCGGGGACCAGGAAGAACCACCGCUCUGACCAGCUGCCAGGGCCUGUUCUGCAAGAUGACAACAGAUCUCUUUGGCCGCCGGAUGCAGCCUCCACUCUCCAACGAGCUUGGCAGUGGCAGCCCUGACCUCAGCAGGUCCAACAGCAUGUCCAGGCCCAGCAGCAAAGCCAUCUACCACCAGCGCAAGAACUACGCUCUCUCUGUGCUGAAGCAGCAAUGGGACCUCCGGCACUAUGUUGAGCACCUCCUCACGCUCCACGUGGACUCCAAGGACAUCCGCAACGUGGAUGACUGCAUUACGCGGCUGAAGAUGAUGGAGGCGCAGGGCCGGGUCUGGGGACAGGACAUGAUCCUGGAGGUGAAGGACCACGAGCUGCUGCUGAGCGACAUUGAGAGCAAGGACGAGCUGGAGAGCUUCCCCCUGGAGUGCGUCCUGAGAUGCACGGCCGUCCUGGACAGCUGCACCUACGACUCCAUCCUGGCCAUCACCCUGAAGGACAGGAGCCGCCAAGAGAUCAGCAUCCUCCUCUUCCAGUGCACGCAGAACGGGGCCGAGAUGAUGAAAACCAACCUGGACAAGGCCGUCAAGGAGUGGAAGAGUGAACUGGAAAACCAGCACAUGCUGAGGAACAGCGUGGAGACCAUGCUGUCCCAGCAGAGAUCCAACCACAGCAUCCAGGAUCCUUUUGGUCCCCCACAACCAGCACCUGCAUUUGACCAGCAUUACUACCCAAAGGAGAGAGAUCAGCCAGAAUGGAUGGAUGACAGCAGACAGAAACAGGAGAACUUGGACAGAGAUUCUGAGAUUCUGAACCAUGUGCUGAACGACAUCGAGCUGUUCGUGGCAAAGGUGAAGGAGGCAAGUGGUACAUUGAACACCAAAAAGAAGAAGACAAAGAAGAAGGGCAAGCACAAAGGAGUGCUGCUCCCAGAGCUCGAGUACCAGGCCUGCUUCCGGAAGAUCAAAUAUGCCUGCAACCUCCUGGGGAAGCUGAAGCUUAUUUUGCAGGACCCGAAUGCCCCGGAACUGCUCCAGCUCCUCUUCUCCAUCCUGUCCCUUACUAUGUCCAGUUGUCCCUGGUCUGACCUGGCAUCCUCCACUAUCUCGCCUCUGCUGACCAAGGAAGCCAUUGACCUGCUGGAAGAGAAUUUGGAGGGAGAGGAUCGUGCCACCUGGAAGACGCUUGGAAAGGCUUGGACCCUGACAAGGGCAGAGUACCCCAAUGGACAGUCUGUGCCUGCCUACUUCCCCACCUUCUCAGAUGAGUGGGUGCCUCCCUUGCCAGCACGGGAGAACCCCACCCCCACCCCCACGGAGCAGCAGCCUGAAGACAGCCAGGGCUACUACUCAAUCAGACCUGUACUCAUGCAAGCCAUGUACGAAUUCGAGGCCAGGAACCACAAGGAGCUGUCAGUGAGGAAGGGAGACAUGCUGGAGGUGCUGGACCAGCGGAAGAAGUGGUGGUUCGUUCAAAACAGCAUGGGCGAGAGGGGCUACAUCCCCAGUAACAUCCUGGCUCCCGCAGAUCAGGAACCAUCUGUAGAGAAUGGCUUGAAUCAGGGUCCACAAGAGCCCCCCAGCCUGACGCUGAACUCCACAGCAGCAGAGGUGACCGAGUGGCUGAAGGACAAGGGCUUCUCCAAGAUCACGGUGAAGGCCCUGGGUGUGCUGACAGGGCGCCAGCUGCUAGCGAUGAGCCAGGAUGAACUGAAAGUCAUCUGCCCAGAAGAUUGGAGACGCGUCGUCUUCAGGCUGUCAGCAGUUAAAACCUCCCUGGGGAUGAACCCUUAUGAUUAGCAGGCUCCCUAUGCCACUCACCGCCAGCUGCAACAGGUCGAGGGGCUUGCAAGGACCAGAAGAGACUGAGCUCUGGGACACCUCAAUAGCAGAUCUCUCCUAGAUCAGCAACCUUAUUGCUCACCUUGGAUUCUAUACAUAAGUUUCUCCUCCCCUUGCAUGCAGGUUAGGCUUGUGAUUGCUAGAGAUUCAUCUUUGCUACAGCCUUGUCAGGCUAUUUAUUCUGUGUAGGACACUCCUUGGCCUCCAUUAAGGCCAGAGACUGCUGCUAACAUGUUAUCUCCCCUAGUUAUUAAGAUACCAGAACUAGAGAGAAUUUCUGCCCCAUUGCCCCAGCAUUUAAGCGAAUGGUUCUCAACCUUUAAGACCCACCCCCCAACAGAAAACACCAGCUUUUAGUUUUCACUCACUUGUCAACUAUGGGGUAGGGGAAAUAGUAAAGCAGUUAGUCUGCAGCAAAGAAAUCAGAAACAGCACAGCAGGUCAGAAUGCUUUUGACACUAUACAUUCCUGUUUGAAAUCUCUGGGUUUACCUUGUGACUCGUGUAGAUGCUUGCACACUGAAACAGUGCGAAUAUUGUGCAUCACCCUUAAAAGGAGCUGACAGCACCCUGCUUGAAGGCUGGCUCCAUGACGGCACAGCACCGACAUGGUGCUUUAGUGUACAGAGCUGAGCUGUGGCUCUUGCAAGCUGCUGUAGGCCCCACCACAGUGAUAAGUCAUAGCACUUUUCUACCACUACCAGAAAUUAAAUCCCCACCUAUUUACUAGAGAGCAUUGCCCACCCCCACCAAAUCCUCCUUUAGGAAAGAAGCAUCCCCUUGGAGAGAAAGUGGGGGAGGUCCUUAUCUUAAUACUGAGUGCAAAAGGGAAAAGCAGAUGCAACCUACUUAAAAACAUUUUGAAAUCCAGUUGUCAGGUCUAGUUUGUCCUUUCUGCUGUCCGAGCCCCCAAGGGUGGAAGGCUCCUAUACAAAUUCAGAGAUCCGAUGUGCAAUAGUGGAAGUUGUGUAGGACAGAAAGCCACAGUAGCAAGAAAACUAGUCCAAAGUCUCUCCCUUAUGCUAGGACAGGCUCACACCUGCAGAGAUAAAAUGCCCCUGAAAAGAUACCCAGUUCUCACAGGUGCUUUUACUCUACAGUCACCUAAGGCUGAGGUAUUGCCUAACUGGAUAAAACAAGUGUUGCAGAGACUUUGUACCUGGAUGUUUUAUUUAUAGCCUCAAGUUGUUGACUCUACAAGCAAUAAAGACAAGGAAUCAGCAGCUCA